GCGUCUUACUUCGAAGAUGUCCAUUAAAUUUGCAUUUAAAUCCAUUAAAUGCAUUUGAUUUCCAUUCUGUGCAUUUUCUUAACAGUGGGAUCAAACUGUCAAAAUUGAUUCUUCUCUCACCACUACAAAUGCAUGAAUGUUGUCAGUUAUCAAUGUCAAAGUUAGCUAGUUUAUUUUCAUUUUUUUAUUUGUGGCCUCUGUUUUUCAAUUAUUGUGGUAUCCGCGGAACGAAGUUCCGAGAGAAAGUGCUCAAUCUGCGAAUAAACCCGGAGAAGCAGGCGCUGAAAUUCUCUCAUAUGCCUAAUUCAAUUACAUCUUAUGCGGAACCAUCAUCUACCCCACGAUGGGAAUGAUUCUGAGAUGACUCGAUAUCGUCGAAAUGUGACAUCGCGCCGAUAUCAGCCCCACAGCAGCACUUCCGGAUUUUCUAAAGCCAUCGGCAACCAAACGAAAGGAACGUUUUGAUUUAGCCGGAUAGAGU